UACGGAGGGUGCAAGCGUUAUCCGGAUUUAUUGGGUUUAAAGGGUCCGUAGGCGGUUCUGUAAGUCAGUGGUGAAAUCUCAUAGCUUAACUAUGAAACUGCCAUUGAUACUGCAGGUCUUGAGUAAAGUAGAAGUGGCUGGAAUAAGUAGUGUAGCGGUGAAAUGCAUAGAUAUUACGUAGAACACCAAUUGCGAAGGCAGGUCACUAUGUUUUAACUGACGCUGAUGGACGAAAGCGUGGGGAGCGAACAGG
rnacentral:rRNA from 1 species